rnacentral:rRNA from 1 species
AGAGUUUGAUCCUGGCUCAGGAUGAACGCUGGCGGCGUGCUUAACACAUGCAAGUCGAACGGGAAAUAUUUCAUUGAGACUUCGGUGGAUUUGAUCUAUUUCUAGUGGCGGACGGGUGAGUAACGCGUGGGUAACCUGCCUUAUACAGGGGGAUAACAGUCAGAAAUGGCUGCUAAUACCGCAUAAGCGCACAGAGCUGCAUGGCUCAGUGUGAAAAACUCCGGUGGUAUAAGAUGGACCCGCGUUGGAUUAGCUGGUUGGUGGGGUAACGGCCCACCAAGGCGACGAUCCAUAGCCGGCCUGAGAGGGUGAACGGCCACAUUGGGACUGAGACACGGACCAGACUCCUACGGGAGGCAGCAGUGGGGAAUAUUGCACAAUGGGGGAAACCCUGAUGCAGCGACGCCGCGUGAAGGAAGAAGUAUCUCGGUAUGUAAACUUCUAUCAGCAGGGAAGAUAGUGACGGUACCUGACUAAGAAGCCCCGGCUAACUACGUGCCAGCAGCCGCGGUAAUACGUAGGGGGCAAGCGUUAUCCGGAUUUACUGGGUGUAAAGGGAGCGUAGACGGUGUGGCAAGUCUGAUGUGAAAGGCAUGGGCUCAACCUGUGGACUGCAUUGGAAACUGUCAUACUUGAGUGCCGGAGGGGUAAGCGGAAUUCCUAGUGUAGCGGUGAAAUGCGUAGAUAUUAGGAGGAACACCAGUGGCGAAGGCGGCUUACUGGACGGUAACUGACGUUGAGGCUCGAAAGCGUGGGGAGCAAACCAGGAUUAGAUACCCUGGUAGUCCACGCCGUAAACGAUGAAU